rnacentral:rRNA from 1 species
GCUCGAUGAGUAGGGCGGGACACGUGGUAUCCUGUCUGAAUAUGGGGGGACCAUCCUCCAAGGCUAAAUACUCCUGACUGACCGAUAGUGAACCAGUACCGUGAGGGAAAGGCGAAAAGAACCCCGGCGAGGGGAGUGAAAAAGAACCUGAAACCGUGUACGUACAAGCAGUGGGAGCACAGGUUUACCUGUGUGACUGCGUACCUUUUGUAUAAUGGGUCAGCGACUUAUAUUCUGUAGCAAGGUUAACCGUAUAGGGGAGCCGGAGGGAAACCGAGUCUUAAUUGGGCGUUAAGUUGCAGGGUAUAGACCCGAAACCCGGUGAUCUAGCCAUGGGCAGGUUGAAGGUUGGGUAACACUAACUGGAGGACCGAACCGACUAAUGUUGAAAAAUUAGCGGAUGACCUGUGGCUGGGGGUGAAAGGCCAAUCAAACCGGGAGAUAGCUGGUUCUCCCCGAAAGCUAUUUAGGUAGCGCCUCGUGAAUUCAUCUCCGGGGGUAGAGCACUGUUUCGGCUAGGGGGCCAUCCCGGCUUACCAACCCGAUGCAAACUGCGAAUACCGGAGAAUGUUAUCACGGGAGACACACGGCGGGUGCUAACGUCCGUCGUGAAGAGGGAAACAACCCAGACCGCCAGCUAAGGUCCCAAAGUCAUGGUUAAGUGGGAAACGAUGUGGGAAGGCCCAGACAGCCAGGAUGUUGGCUUAGAAGCAGCCAUCAUUUAAAGAAAGCGUAAUAGCUCACUGGUCGAGUCGGCCUGCGCGGAAGAUGUAACGGGGCUAAACCAUG